CUUAUUCCGAUUUCCAUGACCCGAAAUAGGGAUUUUGGGGUCAAUAUUGGGGUCCAUAUUGGUCUUAUAGGGUCGAUAUGGGAUUAUAGGGUUUAU
rnacentral:lncRNA from 1 species